rnacentral:rRNA from 1 species
AAAUUGAAGAGUUUGAUCAUGGCUCAGAUUGAACGCUGGCGGCAGGCCUAACACAUGCAAGUCGAACGGUAACAGGAAGAAGCUUGCUUCUUUGCUGACGAGUGGCGGACGGGUGAGUAAUGUCUGGGAAACUGCCUGAUGGAGGGGGAUAACUACUGGAAACGGUAGCUAAUACCGCAUAACGUCGCAAGACCAAAGAGGGGGACCUUCGGGCCUCUUGCCAUCGGAUGUGCCCAGAUGGGAUUAGCUUGUUGGUGGGGUAACGGCUCACCAAGGCGACGAUCCCUAGCUGGUCUGAGAGGAUGACCAGCCACACUGGAACUGAGACACGGUCCAGACUCCUACGGGAGGCAGCAGUGGGGAAUAUUGCACAAUGGGCGCAAGCCUGAUGCAGCCAUGCCGCGUGUAUGAAGAAGGCCUUCGGGUUGUAAAGUACUUUCAGCGGGGAGGAAGGGAGUAAAGUUAAUACCUUUACUCAUUGACGUUACCCGCAGAAGAAGCACCGGCUAACUCCGUGCCAGCAGCCGCGGUAAUACGGAGGGUGCAAGCGUUAAUCGGAAUUACUGGGCGUAAAGCGCACGCAGGCGGUUUGUUAAGUCAGAUGUGAAAUCCCCGGGCUCAACCUGGGAACUGCAUCUGAUACUGGCAAGCUUGAGUCUCGUAGAGGGGGGUAGAAUUCCAGGUGUAGCGGUGAAAUGCGUAGAGAUCUGGAGGAAUACCGGUGGCGAAGGCGGCCCCCUGGACGAAGACUGACGCUCAGGUGCGAAAGCGUGGGGAGCAAACAGGAUUAGAUACCCUGGUAGUCCACGCCGUAAACGAUGUCGACUUGGAGGUUGUGCCCUUGAGGCGUGGCUUCCGGAGCUAACGCGUUAAGUCGACCGCCUGGGGAGUACGGCCGCAAGGUUAAAACUCAAAUGAAUUGACGGGGGCCCGCACAAGCGGUGGAGCAUGUGGUUUAAUUCGAUGCAACGCGAAGAACCUUACCUGGUCUUGACAUCCACAGAACCUUGUAGAGAUACGAGGGUGCCUUCGGGAACUGUGAGACAGGUGCUGCAUGGCUGUCGUCAGCUCGUGUUGUGAAAUGUUGGGUUAAGUCCCGCAACGAGCGCAACCCUUAUCCUUUGUUGCCAGCGGUCCGGCCGGGAACUCAAAGGAGACUGCCAGUGAUAAACUGGAGGAAGGUGGGGAUGACGUCAAGUCAUCAUGGCCCUUACGACCAGGGCUACACACGUGCUACAAUGGCGCAUACAAAGAGAAGCGACCUCGCGAGAGCAAGCGGACCUCAUAAAGUGCGUCGUAGUCCGGAUUGGAGUCUGCAACUCGACUCCAUGAAGUCGGAAUCGCUAGUAAUCGUGGAUCAGAAUGCCACGGUGAAUACGUUCCCGGGCCUUGUACACACCGCCCGUCACACCAUGGGAGUGGGUUGCAAAAGAAGUAGGUAGCUUAACCUUCGGGAGGGCGCUUACCACUUUGUGAUUCAUGACUGGGGUGAAGUCGUAACAAGGUAACCGUAGGGGAACCUGCGGUUGGAUCACCUCCUUACCUUAAAGAAGC